AACAAGCUCAAACAGCCAGUGUGUGGACAGGUCUGCGUUUCCUCGAUGGACAAUGGUUCUGGGUGAACGGGAUGCCGCUGGGGAGCCUGGUAUCACUGCCUUCAUGCCCAGUCCAACCCUAUCGCUGUGGUGUUACUGUCACCGAGAGGUCUGUGCAGGAGGGCGAGACGUUCAUCUUCCAUCUGCCGAAUAUAGAGUCUGGCAGAUCAGUCGAAUGGAAACAGAUGAAUAAACUGCUGGCCAUCAUUAGCCUGGACAACAACACAGUAAUAUUUCAGCAGGGACGCAGACAUCAGUUCAUGCAGAAUGGGUCAGUCGUCAUCAGAGAUGUCAAACAGGAAGACACCGGCAACUACACUUACAAUAUCAUAUUCAAAGACAAAAAAAUUCAAAGCCACAUCCUCUCACUUACCCUGUACUCAGAAACUACAGAACAGAGCCCUACUUAUAACUCCACAUUCAUUACAUCAGAAACUACAGAACAGAGCCCUACUUAUAACUCCACAUUCAUUACAUCAGUUCCUCCGGCUCUUAAUAAAGUGCAGAUCGUGAUUAUCAUCUCAUCACUCGGAAGUUUGCUUCUGCUUGGCGGUGUGAUAGUCAUCGUUUUAAAAUGCAGAAGGAAACGUCGGACUCAGGAGGAACCCAUUUACAGCAACAUAUAUUACAACACGAGGACAUGCAGAAAAAAGGUCACAGGUGACCAGAAGCAAACGAAAUCAUGAAAUUCAAUAAUUUUUCUUUAUACGUCUUUAUGACACUUAAAUGUUCAUAGCAUCUUGUAGGUUUGCAUGCAAGACCCGACCUGAAACAGAAACGUGUGCAUCUGUGGUUUUGGAGGCGGUUAUUUUAAGGGUCUGGUUCGUCUUUUGCAGUUGUCAGGAAAUUGUUUUACUUGCAUGUCUGCUGGGCACUGCAAACACAGCCCUCUUUUGUUCUCUUUUAUAUAUGUUGUAUCUACAAGAUGACUGUAUACUGGAUACUUUAAGACUUUCCAAAUGACUUUUUGUAAAGCAAAGACAAUCACACUUUAGAAUAGUAUGUACUUGUGGAUGUCUGUCUAUACUGUGAAAGAAAUAUGAAUCUUAUCUGUCUGAACUUAACCUAAUUUAGAGACUUUAAGGGUUCUUCAGGUGUCCCUCUGUGGGAAAGACAAAUACUGUAGAACCCUGCUUUGGAAGCACCCUAAAUUAUCCAAUGAACCUUUAAAGAACCCUUUGUUUUGUUUUUAAGAGUGUAUGUAGUAACUGUGUAAGUAUGUGGCGCAAAAUUCCAAAUCAUUGCUCUGUUUUUUGUUUGUUCUCAAAAAAAAAAAAAGGCCUAGAAAUGCCUUUUUAUUUUUAUUUUUUAAUUUUUUUGGAAGCUACAGUAGGAAACCUUAAUUAUCCAUUGAACCCUUAAAGAACCCUGAAGAAUCUAGAAGAAAACUGACUGAAUACUAAACCCCUGACUGGAUUGGUGCAUUAAGUAGAAAAUAAUAUAGCACAAUGUGGAGUUUGUACCACAAUCUUACCUCGUUAUUACAUACAGUACACGCGCUCUGAGAAACAAAGGGUUCCUCGGGGGUUCUUUCAGGGUUUAAUGGAAAAUUAAGGGCUCUGUUUUCUUCUUUUGUUUUGUUUUUUGUUUUUUUUUAGAUGUUAGUGAGUUUGUAAAGUGAAACUCACACAUUAGUGCGAGUUGUACUUCUGUAGCACUCACGCUACACUGAUGUGUUCAAAACAAAUAGAAUUGUGCCUGUAAGAGAAUAAGAUAAACACUGGAUUUAUGACUGAAGCGUA
ensembl:lncRNA